rnacentral:rRNA from 1 species
UACGGAGGGUGCGAGCGUUGUCCGGAAUCACUGGGCGUAAAGGGCGCGUAGGCGGCUUCUCAAGCGUGUGGUGAAAGUCCGGGGCUCAACCCCGGAUCGGCCGUGCGGACUGGGGAGCUCGAGUUCUGUAGAGGCGGGUGGAACUCCGGGUGUAGCGGUGGAAUGCGUAGAGAUCCGGAAGAACACCGGUGGCGAAGGCGGCCUGCUGGGCAGUAGCUGACGCUGAUGCGCGACAGCGUGGGGAGCAAACAGG